AAAAAAAACAAACCCUAGUUUCCGUAUCCAACUUUUGACCAUCUGUCUUAUUUAAAGAAAAUAUGAAAAAAAUUAAAAAGAUAAGUCACGCAUAAAAUAUUAAUCAUGUUUUAUCAUCUAACAACAAUGAAAUUACGAAUUAUAAGAAAAAUUCAUAUAAGACGGAUAGUCAAAGUUGGACACGAAAACGCAGGGUUUGUCUUUUU
rnacentral:pre_miRNA from 1 species